rnacentral:rRNA from 1 species
GACGAACGCUGGCGGCGUGCCUAACACAUGCAAGUCGAGCGGAGUCGAUCGACGGAAGCCUUCGGGCGGAAGAUGGUUGACUUAGCGGCGGAUGGGUGAGUAACACGUGGGUAACCUGCCUGGAAGACAGGGAUAACGAUUCGAAAGGGUCGCUAAUACCUGAUAAUAUCCUUUCAUCGCAUGGUGAUAGGAAGAAAGGGGAAACCCGCUUUCAGAUGGGCCCGCGUCCCAUCAGCUAGUUGGUAAGGUAAAGGCUUACCAAGGCGACGACGGGUAGCCGGUCUGAGAGGAUGUACGGCCACACUGGGACUGAGAUACGGCCCAGACUCCUACGGGAGCAGCAGUUGGGAAUCUUAGGCAAUGGACGAAAGUCUGACCUAGCGACGCCGCGUGAGGGAAGAAGGCCUUCGGGUUGUAAACCUCUGUCAUGGGGGAAAAGUAAGUGACGGUACCCCAAGAGGAAGCCCCUGCUAACUACGUG